rnacentral:RNase_P_RNA from 1 species
UUGGUCUUGUGAAUAGUCGCUGCCACUUGUGGGAGAGGAAAGUCCGGGCUCAAUAGAGCAAGAUGCUAGGUAACGCCUAGUGGAGGUAACUCCAAGAAAAGUGCCACAGAAAAUAACCGCUUUGAUUUUCAAAGUAAGGGUGAAAAGGAGAGGUAAGAGCUCACCGCUUGCUUGGUGACAAGCAAGGCAAAGGUAAACUCCAUCUUGAGCAAGAAAAAUUGGAAUACAUAGAUUUGCUCGAUCUAUUCCAGGUAUUCGCUAAAGGUUUAUAGCAAUAUAAAUUUUAGAUAGAUGACUAUUCACGACAUAACCCGGCUUAUAGCAAGGCCAAAAAA